rnacentral:rRNA from 1 species
UACGGAGGGUGCUAGCGUUGUUCGGAAUUACUGGGCGUAAAGGGCUCGUAGGUGGCCAACUAAGUCAGACGUGAAAUCCCUCGGCUUAACCGGGGAACUGCGUCUGAUACUGGAUGGCUUGAGUUCGGGAGAGGGAUGCGGAAUUCCAGGUGUAGCGGUGAAAUGCGUAGAUAUCUGGAGGAACACCGGUGGCGAAGGCGGCAUCCUGGACCGACACUGACACUGAGGAGCGAAAGCCAGGGGAGCAAACGGG